UACAUGGGGUGCAAACGUUGCUCGGAAUUAUUGGGCGUAAAGCGCGCGUAGGCGGUUAUCUAAGUCGGAUGUGAAAGCCCUUGGCUUAACUGAGGAAGUGCACCCGAAACUGGAUAGCUAGAGUACGAAAGAGGGUCGCGGAAUUCCCGGUGUAGAGGUGAAAUUCGUAGAUAUCGGGAGGAACACCGGUGGCGAAGGCGGCGACCUGGGUCGAGACUGACGCUGAGGCGCGAAAGCGUGGGGAGCAAACAGG
rnacentral:rRNA from 1 species